AGUGAACGCUGGCGGUAGGCCUAACACAUGCAAGUCGAACGGCAGCACAGUAAGAGCUUGCUCUUACGGGUGGCGAGUGGCGGACGGGUGAGGAAUACAUCGGAAUCUACUUUUUCGUGGGGGAUAACGUAGGGAAACUUACGCUAAUACCGCAUACGACCUACGGGUGAAAGCAGGGGAUCUUCGGACCUUGCGCGAUUGAAUGAGCCGCUGUCGGAUUAGCUAGUUGGGGGGGUAAAGGCCCACCAAGGCGACGAUCCGUAGCUGGUCUGAGAGGAUGAUCGGCCACACUGGAACUGAGACACGGUCCAGACUCCUACGGGAGGCAGCAGUGGGGAAUAUUGGACAAUGGGCGCAAGCCUGAUCCAGCCAUACCGCGUGGGUGAAGAAGGCCUUCGGGUUGUAAAGCCCUUUUGUUGGGAAAGAAAAGCAGCAGGCUAAUACCCCGCUGUUCUGACGGUACCCAAAGAAUAAGCACCGGCUAACUUCGUG
rnacentral:rRNA from 1 species